rnacentral:piRNA from 1 species
UGGUCAUCGGGUUCAACUCAGUUCA